rnacentral:rRNA from 1 species
UGGACCCGCAAUACGUCGACCCGGGGGAUUCAACCAGGCCGUUGCGUUCGGGACGCGUGGGGGUUAUGCGGAGCUGUAAAGCCCGUGCCUUUGCGUGGGUCACCGGGCGGACUGGUGCACUUUCCUCGGGUCGAUUGCCACGACCGGCUCUCCGCGCGGCCACAAGCCAGUUGCUGGGAAGGUGACCGCGGGCCCCGCGCCCGCGGGGUUUAUAGCCCAGCUUGUUCGUUGAGCUCGUGGGAGGGCCGAGGAAGUUGCCGUUUCUCAUCACCCUCUGGCCAUCCUUGCUCGUCACGACUGGGGUGUACUGCUUCGUCAGUGCUCUCCCGACCGCGAGCUUUGGAAGGGCUGGUACGGUGCGAGAAUUGCUUCGGGCCAGUGGCGAAUCGGUCGGUCCUCCACCCGACC